CGCAGCGUCGGACCCGAAGCCGGCCGUGGGGGGCUGCGCAAGCCCCGCCCCCUCUCGGCCCGCCCCGCCCCGCCAGGCCCCGCCCCGCCCCCAGGCCCCGCCCCCGCGCGGGGAGGAGCGCGCCGGGAGGGCGGAAGUAAACCUCUACAUUUGUGACUGAUGGCCUGUACCUACUCUUCUUGGAUACUGAAAACAAUCCAGUACUGUUGUUAAGAAAGCUUCAGGAGAAACUACAAGCACUGUUCCUUCUCCACUAUUUAAAUGUGAAAUGAAGAUGUGAAAUAAGUUGAAGACGUCAAAAUCUUACUUCAGAAAAAAAUAGAACUUAAAAACAUUCCAAGGCACCACAACGUGAAGCACUUCGAUAAAUUUUUUGGUCAAGAACUCUAUGACCACUCUGAAGAGACACACAAUAAUAAUCAACACUAUCUUUGCAAGGGACAUUUUAGAGUGCACUGGAACUGUCUUAAAGUUAGAAGCAAUUCUAUUCAGGCUUAGAAUAAGAUAACUUGUAUUCUUGGAUGCUUAUGGUCAAACUGUUUGUUACUGCAUUACAGGAGUUUUGUGUAUUUGCACAAACUUACCCAGUUCUUCAUCCAGCACUAAUAAUGGUUUAAUGAUACAAUAUAUGAGCAAAUUAUUCCUAGAGUGGACAUAGAUAUGUUAGCAAAGUGGUACUAACAACAGAAUGAUAUUACUCUUUGUGAAUGAAACAAGCCAUGGUGGGCAAAAACAUAGUUUUUGCAGUAUAAGGGCUUAUAGUGUGCCUGCAUUAUUCAGUGGUGAUCCUUAACAAAGCUACGCUAGUGGAAAUCUGUGAUAGUCCAAGAAAAUUCUGCAUGGCUCUGGAAGCUGCAUGGGAAAACGCAGAAUGCAAAGAACUUUAGAAGAGAUGAUAAAACUUGGCAUUAUCUAAAAGGAUAAGCAAAAACUUAAAAUAACAAGAGGCAGCAUAAAGUUCACCUGCUGAACAAGCUGACUUGUAAAAGGCAAAAUUGGUAGGUUGAAGAAGUGGCACAGCCUUGCUCCAGAAAUCUCUAGUAGCACUGGUCAAUAUCUACACCAAAGCCACUCAGCUGCUGAAACUAGGGUGCUGAAAUCAUGACAGUUGGCCCUAUAAGAUUUUUAGCUGUAACAGUUAUCUUGGACUACAAAUCCCCUCCCCUCCAAUAGCUGAUACAAACACAGGAGACAAAGUUUGAAUAACUUUCCUCAGUGAAGGAGAAGGCCUAACCUCUGGCAGCUCCAUGAGACAUUUUACUUCAUCAUUAUUUUGUGGGUUCAAUCCAAGCUACCUAAUUUUAAUGGUGGACUGCUUAUCUAUUUUACGGAAAAGUAAGGUGAUCAGACUGUAGAUUAAAUUGAAAAGAUACAGAGUUAAAAGUAAUCAGUAUACUGAUACUCCAAAUCCCAUUAAUAUUGAAAUCUUCCCAGAUAGUUUCACAAAUAAACAGACUGAUAAAUAUCUUUUCAUUUCACUAUGCUAAAAACUGAAAAAUCUAAAUACAGCUGCAUGGGCAUCUGUUCUUUUAUACCAUGUAAUUUAGUAUAUCAAUACUGAGCUCUUGUGAAAGACCUAAUCUUGAAAGUGACAAGUGUUCCAUGUGUAAAGCUGCUUUUCAAAACAAUUAGACCUCUCAUUUACGUAUUUUGCCCACCUCUUGUGGAAGAUACCUAGGAACAGAAAGCUGUCCUGAGAUUACCUGCAGGGCAAGGUUUGUUAAUAAGGUUUAUCUGAUGAGCUGAUGCAGUUGGAAAAAGAGAAGCAUUCAGGCACCUAAGCCAUUCUUCAGAUUUACUAAGCAUUUCAGCAGUCUUUAUUACAGUAAUUUCAGUCAAUUUUUAAGACAGUUCAGGUUGUCCAAGACUAGUUUAAACUGUGGUGCCACCUAGUUUUAAACACAGUUUUGCUUUUUGUUUCAAGCUACUAUCAUGCAUGUUAGAAAAUUUUCCAAGACAGGGAGGUGAUUGGUGAUAAAAUACCAUUAAAAUCUCAUAUUUUUAUGAGAGAUCACAAAAUAUCUAGCUAUCCUGUUAAUCUUUUUUCUUCCUUCAUUCUUACACACUCUCAAGAGACUUGACAAUGUGUACUUAAAUCAGUAUAUAGUAGUAUUUUUCCAAACUGGACAUCAGAAAACUACAGAAAUUAGUUAUCAAUGUUACAUCAGAUGAUUUACUGCAUUUAUUUGAUUCAUUAUUUUUAUAGUAUGUUAUUUUUAUACCCUACCUUUUAAAUGGCAGGCCACAAACAGCAGAGCAGUUUUUUUUACACUCAGGAAUGGAAACUUUGGCUUUAAGCAGCCUACUUCAUUCAGAGCUUUUAUUAGAGAAGUUGCUACUCCCUAAAGAAAUAAAACAUUUUUUAAAGACCAUUACAGAGAUCUAGAACAAAUAAAUAUGAAAAGCCUGACCCUGUUGUCAUGCAAAUCCAACAAUACAGUAUGCUGUCUAAGCCAGUGAAUUGUAGAAGAUCACAGAAAUAAUAGAAAAUUGGGAAGGAAGAGACCAUGAAUCAUUUUUUAUUUCCUAUCCCUGUCUAAAAGUAUAAUCAGCUAUCCUUAAACCAUUCCUGAUAGGCUUGUGUCUAACCUGUGUUAAAAAUCAAAGCAAAAUGUAAUCAUAUCAGAUACGAUAAAGAGUCAUAAAAAUCAUCAUACAAUCUUGCAGCUUAUUAUUCCCCUCUGAUGGUCUUACUUGAUUUUUUCUAUUAAAGUUAGCAGCAUCUGUCAUUUUAAACUUUUUAAAAUUUCCUCUCUUUAUUGCAAGUACCUACCUGAACAUAAUUUUCAAUUAAAUAUAAUCCCAUUAGUAAAAAUAAUACUUAUGUUACACUAAAAAACCAACUCCUCCCCCCAUCCGAAACUGUAUGUGGCAUGUUAUACAUUGUAAAAUCAUGGUUUUUGUAAAAUUUGAUUUAAUAUAGAGAAGCGAAAACUAGCCUGUUCAAGGUAUCCAGCUAAGGGAAGUGCAGUAAGUAGUAUGGGCUCCUUUACUGGAGGGAGUUUGCGUGGAAGCUUCAAAUUCCAGUACUUCUCUGGUAACCUAACCAGAUAAAAAGUAAGGACUUUCAAGAUGUAUAAACUACGACAUGAUUAAAGAUUAAAAUGUUAAUAGUA